GGUGUAUCUGUUGACUUACCAAGGUCAUGGCAGAGUAGCCAAGCCGGGAAGGGAUAAACGCUGAAGGCAUCUAAGCGUGAAGCCCCCCUCAAGAUGAGAUAUCCCUACGAAAGUAGUAAGACCCCUUGAAGACGACGAGGUAGAUAGGGCAGAGGUGGAAGUGUGGUAACACAUGGAGCUGACUGUUACUAAUCGGUCGAGGGCAUAACC
rnacentral:rRNA from 1 species